CAAAUGAAUUGACGGGGCCGCACAAGCAGUGGAUUAUGUGGUUUAAUUCGAAGCAACGCGAAGAGCCUUACCAGGGUUUGACAUCCUACUAACGAAGCAGAGAUGCAUUAGGUGCCCUUCGGGGAAAGUAGAGACAGGUGGUGCAUGGUUGUCGUCAGCUCGUGUCGUGAGAUGUUGGGUUAAGUCCCGCAACGAGCGCAACCCUUAUUGUUAGUUGCUACGCAAGGGCACUCUAGCGAGACUGCCGUUGACAAACGGAGGAAGUGGGGACGACGUCAAAUCAUCAUGCCCCUUAUGUCCUGGGCUACACACGUAAUACAAUGGCGGCCAACAACGGGAGGCAAGACAGUGAUGUGGAGCAAAUCCCAAAAAGCCGUCUCAGUUCGGAUUGCAGGCUGAAACCCGCCUGCAUGAAGUCGGAAUUGCUAGUAAUCGCGGAUCAGCAUGCCGCGGUGAAUACGUUCCCGGGCCUU
rnacentral:rRNA from 1 species